CUAAGUCUGCCACACUGUUUGCAUUUGUAGCUUGCUUUGUUUAAUAAAUAGAUUGAUCUUAUUUUCUAUAAACUUUUUUAUUUAACCUACUAACUUCAAAUACAUUAUAUUUGAUCCUUCAAGGGGCAAAAUAGUUCAGCUCUUUGUUUUACAAGUUUCAGGAUUGAAGGGGGAGAUGCUACAACAGUACAACUACAAGUUCCCUUGCUUCUUUGUAAGGGAACCAAUCAACUAACUUAAUGAGAUUGAUGCACGAGAGCUUCUAGAUGUUCUUCUCGAUCUUGAAUAUUCAUUUUCUCCAACUAUGCAAGAUUUGCUUGUGUAUAAGUUUGAUAAGGCCAGGGGCAAGAACAAAGUGGUUGAUUCAUUGAAUGAAGUAUGCGUUAUGUACAGUCCUCCAGAAUUCAGAAAUUGAUCUAUAAUUCUGUGAAGAGAAGGUUUUCAAACCCAAAGGAGCAUUGGCAACCUUAGGGACUUGGGCGCCAACGUGUAGUCCCAGCAGAAGUUGCUCACCCGGAAGGUGGUCUUCUCCAAGGCCUCCCUAGCCUUUGAACAAGACCGCUCCAUCAAGGGUAAACCAUUGAGUGGCAAUGAUACAUGUGUGUCCAUACGACAUAGUGAUUAGCAGCAUGAGGUGCUGAGCACAUCGCGUGUGUGUCUGUAUGUGUGCGCUGAUAUGCGGUUCAUGAGGAACAAACUGAUUAAGCAUGCUCCAAAGCUACGAGCGACUGAACUAGGUAUCUUUUCUAUUUUCAUGGUGAAGCCUGGUUUUAACUGCUAAAGAAUAGCAGGAGAUGGAAUCAUUGAAAUAUAAUCACUUCUUAAGUAAAUGAACUGAGACUUGAUGGUUGUGUGUUAUUGGUACAAUAUGUAUUUUGGGCCUGAAUUGUGAAGCAAAUCGAGAAUUCCUGGUUACUUAUUAUUAGUAUAGUAUACCUUUUUUGGGCCUGAAUUCUGAACCUUGCUGAUUUUUUUGGUAGUGUGUUAUCAGUGUAGUAUGCAUUUUUGGCCUGAAUCCUUAACCUUAUCUAGGUAUUGAUUUUCUGCAAUCAGUGAAGCACUCAUGGUCAUGCGUAUUUGUUAGUCUACAUUACUUAUAGAUUUAGUUGUUUUGAUAUGUAUCCAUUCGUCGGUUAGUUAACUGAAAUUUGUUGGCAGUGGUUCUUUAUGUUCUUUAACUGUUAUACAGAAGCAGCGGACUGAAACAUUUAAAAACAAUCAGCUCUUUAUGAAUUAACUAAAGACUUGAUGGUUGCGUUAUUAUUAUAGUAUAUACAUUUUUGGGCUUGAAUUACAAAUCUGAUUCAAAUAUCCUUGUUUUGUGUUAUUAUGAUGGUAAUGUUAUCGAGCUUUGUUAAUGUUUUUUUCCUUUCCUUCCUGAACUUCUGAUACUCUCUGCACUGAUGAAAUGUUUUUGCAUGUCAGUUAAGUACCAGGGCAACCACAGAUGAUGUUCCUUCCUUUCAUUGAGUUGCCUUACUGUUAUGUCGUCCAACUUUUUGUUAAUAUACACACUCGACAACUUACUGUUAUAACGUCCAACUUUUUGUUAAUAUACACACUUGAUUCUGGAACCCAUGAACUCUUUGUCUCUCCGAGGACAUGUUUCACAUCUACUCCUGUUUGUAAAAAAACAUUAUAGUCUAUUAUGUGUUAUAUAGUCAAAAAAUACAUAAUUGGUUCUCUUCUAUGUGCUUUCCUUAAUGAAUACACUUGGUUCACAAAAGCCUUAGCAUAAUUUGUUGAACAAGUUUUGCCUAAUUUUAUUUCUUGCAUCUCCUGUGGUAAGUUUUAUUUCUUGGUACUUGUAAAAUUGUUCAGAUUACUUAGCUUCGUUCAACUGCUGUGUUGACUAAAUCUACUGUGCCUAUAAACAUACGUGCUUGCCCGUGACCAUGUCGGCUAUGUUGUUAUUCUUUCUUGAAUUGGUAGGUUGAAACCAAGAGGGCAUUGUAAACUUUGAUGACACUUUGUGGGAAACCAAUUACUUCAUGGCCAGAGGUGAUUUUGGAAUGGAGAUUUCAGUUGAGAAGAUAUCCCUUGCACAGAAAAUGAUGGUCUACAAGUGCAACCUUGCUGGCCGGACUGAUUUUUUACUUGCCCUGAUGAAGCUGUAGACUAUACACAUAAGUUGCUGAUUUUGCAUGCUAUACUUGUGUAAAUGUUGUUCCACCUUCCCACUUUGUAAUUUCAUGGCCAUUUCAGAUGAUCUAGACAUUUAAUGUAUGG
rnacentral:rRNA from 1 species